CAGCGCCUCUGGAGGCCCCACAGCAGGAACUUUCCUGGCAGGGGCUGCACUUUGGCUCUCCCUCGGCCUCCCUGGCCAGGCUGGCAGGGGCUGCAGUUCAGAAAAGAGGUGAAAGAACGAUUCCCCAGGUGAUCUUGAUGCUGAAUGUCUCCCUAGGAGAUCUGGGCAUGGAGAGGAACAAGCCCCUUGCAGGCUGACCCAUUUUGGACAACCUGCUCCUCACCCCAGCCUCACCAUGUCUGACAUGGCCCACCUGGGACUGACAUCCCAAAACAUAAAAAAGUAUGCAUUUUAAAAAUAAAUAAGAUUGAUUAAUUUAUAAAAUUAUAAUUAUAGUUUUUUUAAUUUAUAUUAGUAUUACUGUAUAUUUCUAUUACCUUUGAUAUUUAUGUGAAAAAUUGAAUACAUUUUUAGCAGUCAAAAAAUUAUUUGUCAUUGGUUUUAAAUAAAACAAUUCCUUUCAUUAAAUCAUUGACCACUACUGGCCAUUUAUUUCUCCUUCUUAAUGCUAAUUAGUGCUAUUUUUAGAUAUUUUGACAUAUUUUUUUAUUAUUUUCAUGGACAGGGUAAAAGGGGCCACUUUGGGGUCCCUGGAGACAUUUCUGGGGCACAUUUGGGGCAGUUUUGGGUCUGGGCAGUAUGAUAAACAAGUCCACUGAAUUUAAGGAUCAAAUAAUUAUCUUUAUUAUUUUGCAAGCAAGAAUAAGCAAGGACAGCGCUGGGCGGCCCGGAGUCUCCGCUCCACUUUGGCUCACAAAAUCCUAUCCCCUGAGUCCACCCUUUAUUGCCUUCUUCUCCGGGUUUAGGGAUGACGUGAUCUGUCUUCUGCACUUGCUCGUUCAGUUGCUCGGGGGUCUUUUUCUGCCUUCUGGUGGUCGUGGGAUGAAGGCUUAGUCCCCCUUAGUCUUCCUCUUUGUGAAUGCUGAGUGAACUUAUGCCUUAUAAGGCAUAUCUAUACAGAACACUAUACACUUUCUGCAAGCUAAGCAAUUCUUACUAGUACUAUACACUUUCUGCAAGCUCAGAAAUUCUAGCGAGUUUAAGGAUUGCUAUUACAGCUGCUUCUCAUUACUUUCUUUUCACAAGGCAUAACUUUACAAUGGAAUUCCCAAAGCACUAUAGUAAACCAGCAACCAUAUGUAUCUGCACGAGAAGUUUUUUGGCUAUUUAACUAUUGUUUUAUAUUGUAUAGUUAUUUAGCUAUUGAUUUAAUUAAUGAACAAACGUAUUACUACUUAUUACAAAUCCCCCAUUUCUUUUUUUACCAAUUUUGUUCAUUAAAUCUUUCUAGUUCUUUCUUAGCAAGCAUUAAAUGAGCUGCCUCAUCAGUUAAGCUAUGUGCACUAAUUAUAGGUACUAACUUCCUUAGUUUCUUCAUCAUAUUCCAAUUCAUAAUGAAUGGAACUGCUGACAAAAUAAAACCAAGCACAGUCAAUAUCAACAGAACAACAAUGGGAUGGCAUAUACUGUUUAGGACCCCUGCGGCAUUAGGAGACCAACCGAAAAGGGUAUCCCACUGGAUGUCACUCUGGAAAUGCCAGUGGCUCUGGAAAUGCCAGCUGAGAGCUCUGGCAGUGACUGACACUGCACUGAGAGGGGCCACAGUCCUGCAAGGGGCUUUCAUCAGGAGCAAAGAGCAGCCUGGAGGGUGGGCAAUGCUGGAUCUGUACCACUGCGUGCUCAUCCUUCACCUGAAUGUGGAGCUGCCCCCAAAGUU